rnacentral:rRNA from 1 species
CGCGAGGGGGAGCCAAUCCCAGAAACCCGAUCGUAGUCCGGAUCGCAGUCUGCAACUCGACUGCGUGAAGUCGGAAUCGCUAGUAAUCGCGGAUCAGCAUGUCGCGGUGAAUACGUUCCCGGGUCUUGUACACACCGCCCGUCACACCAUGGGAGUGGGUUUUACCAGAAGUAGUUAGCCUAACCGCAAGGAGGGCGAUACCACGG